GGAACACUUCAGGUGUCCCAUGGUCUAGUGUGAGCGGAACACCUCAGGGUCCUAUGAUCUCACAAGUCCAGGCUGCAAUAGCUCUGUCAGGUCAUACUCUGAGCAGCAUGAUCCCCAUAUGAGCCCAGCUUUCUCUGACUCCAGCUUUGGGCUCGUCCCUUUGUAUAAGAGGUACCAGUGGGAGCCACUGUGGGAGAGGGACUGCCUGACUGUAGAGUCUUUCCGGUUGAGUUUGGAAUGGACCAUUGCUAGCUACAAACAAGGGGAAGAAAGCCCAGGGAAGUGGGCGACGGCCAUAUGGAGAGGGGCCAGCUGUCCCCCUGAGAGAGCGAGCACUGGGAACAGAGCUGGCAGAGAAGCUCAGGUAUCUUGGUUGGUGUCCCUGAGGCUUAGACAAGGGUUGCCCCACCAUAGAGUGAUCCCUGGUCUGCUUCCUGCUUCAGAGGUCUAAGUCCAAGACCUCUGUGGGCCCAGGGAAC
rnacentral:lncRNA from 1 species